CCUACGGGAGGCAGCAGUGGGGAAUUUUGGACAAUGGACGCAAGUCUGAUCCAGCCAUGCCGCGUGCGGGAAGAAGGCCUUCGGGUUGUAAACCGCUUUUGUCAGGGAAGAAACGGCUCUGGUUAAUACCUGGGGCUAAUGACGGUACCUGAAGAAUAAGCACCGGCUAACUACGUGCCAGCAGCCGCGGUAAUACGUAGGGUGCAAGCGUUAAUCGGAAUUACUGGGCGUAAAGCGUGCGCAGGCGGUUAUGCAAGACAGAUGUGAAAUCCCCGGGCUCAACCUGGGAACUGCAUUUGUGACUGCAUAGCUAGAGUACGGUAGAGGGGGAUGGAAUUCCGCGUGUAGCAGUGAAAUGCGUAGAUAUGCGGAGGAACACCGAUGGCGAAGGCAAUCCCCUGGACCUGUACUGACGCUCAUGCACGAAAGCGUGGGGAGCAAACAGGAUUAGAUACCCUGGUAGUCCACGCCCUAAACGAUGUCAACUGGUUGUUGGGAGGGUUUCUUCUCAGUAACGAAGCUAACGCGUGAAGUUGACCGCCUGGGGAGUACGGCCGCAAGGUUGAAACUCAAAGGAUUGACGG
rnacentral:rRNA from 1 species